GUGGGGAAUCUUGCGCAAUGGGCGAAAGCCUGACGCAGCCAUGCCGCGUGAAUGAUGAAGGUCUUAGGAUUGUAAAAUUCUUUCACCGGGGACGAUAAUGACGGUACCCGGAGAAGAAGCUCCGGCUAACUUCGUGCCAGCAGCCGCGGUAAUACGAAGGGGGCUAGCGUUGCUCGGAAUUACUGGGCGUAAAGGGCGCGUAGGCGGACAGCUUAGUCAGAGGUGAAAGCCCAGGGCUCAACCUUGGAAUUGCCUUUGAUACUGGCUGUCUUGAGUUUGAGAGAGGUGAGUGGAACUCCGAGUGUAGAGGUGAAAUUCGUAGAUAUUCGGAAGAACACCAGUGGCGAAGGCGACUCACUGGCCCAAUACUGACGCUGAGGUGCGAAAGCGUGGGGAGCAAACAGGAUUAGAAACCCGUGUAGUCC
rnacentral:rRNA from 1 species